UCUGUUUUCAAUGAUAAUUCCUGAGGAGUAGAAGUUACCUGUUGUAUGUCCGUAUUUAGCGAGGAGUCAGCAUGUGGAUAUUGAGAAUUACUCAUCUCUUCAACGGUCUGAUAUGCACUCCAAAGGCGCAAGGAGAAUAACCACGGCACUGCUGACAACGCCAUCCAGCCUGAAAGAAAUUGUUUGUCUCAUCUUGUGCACAACCUACGAAAGCAUCAUCACUUCAAAAAUGUUUCCCAGAUAUUAAUAAGAAACAGGACACCUGCUUGGAUUCACCUUCCCUUCUUGAUGACAAUACCGAGGGACUUGCAGACUAUUGUGUGGGAUAUACAGGUAUCCAGGAGAAGUUGCCAUUUGCUUUGCUGACAAGAAUUUGUAUAAAAACACAAACAAUAAGGCUUCGGCACUUCAAAGGUAUAUUGGGUGCUACUCCUCCCAUCUCAUUUAUGACUUACAUAUGAUGUAAUAUUGCAGGACCUCCAUCUUACUUGGAAUUU